rnacentral:rRNA from 1 species
GAUGAACGCUGGCGGCGUGCUUAACACAUGCAAGUCGAACGAAGCACUUUAUUUGAUUUCCUUCGGGACUGAUUAUUUUGUGACUGAGUGGCGGACGGGUGAGUAACGCGUGGGUAACCUGCCUUGUACAGGGGGAUAACAGUUGGAAACGGCUGCUAAUACCGCAUAAGCGCACGGCAUCGCAUGAUGCAAUGUGAAAAACUCCGGUGGUAUAAGAUGGACCCGCGUUGGAUUAGCUAGUUGGUGAGGUAACGGCCCACCAAGGCGACGAUCCAUAGCCGACCUGAGAGGGUGACCGGCCACAUUGGGACUGAGACACGGCCCAAACUCCUACGGGAGGCAGCAGUGGGGAAUAUUGCACAAUGGGCGAAAGCCUGAUGCAGCGACGCCGCGUGAGCGAAGAAGUAUUUCGGUAUGUAAAGCUCUAUCAGCAGGGAAGAUAAUGACGGUACCUGACUAAGAAGCACCGGCUAAAUACGUG